rnacentral:rRNA from 1 species
CCUACGGGUGGCAGCAGUGGGGGAUAUUGCACAAUGGGGGAAACCCUGAUGCAGCGACGCCGCGUGUGGGAAGACGGUCCUCUGGAUUGUAAACCACUGUCCUCAGGGACGAAGAUGACGGUACCUGGGGAGGAAGCUUCGGCUAACUACGUGCCAGCAGCCGCGGUAAUCCGUAGGGAGCAAGGGUUGUCCGGAAUUCCUGGGUGUAAAGGGAGCGGAGGCGGGAUGGAAAGUUGGGUGUUAAAUCUACCGGCUAAACUGGUAGUCGCACUCAAAACCGGUAUUUUUGAGUGAAGUAGAGGCAGGCGGAAUUCCUAGUGUAGCGGUGAAAUGCGUAGAUAUUAGGAGGAACACCAGUGGCGAAGGCAGCCUGCUGGGCUGUAACUGACGCUGAGGCUCGAAAGUGUGGGGAGCAAACAGGAUUAGAUACCCUAGUAGUC